rnacentral:tRNA from 1 species
UCCCUGAUAGCUCAGUUGGUAGAGCAGUAGACUGUUAAUCUAUUUGUCGCAGGUUCGAGUCCUGCUCGGGGAGCCA